AAGAAGAAAGAAACCUAUUGGAGCCAAGGAAAUGCCCAAAUGGGAUCUGAAAUCUAUGCCGAAUUCAAUUAAAGAUUCAAUUUUUACACUACCCAUUCAUCCAUCAGUGAAAAUCUUGGCUUUCUUUAAUCUAUAGCCCCAAAUUUAUCAAUACCCAUCUUAUCUUUCCGGAUUGUGGUUAAUGGAUUGAUUUUAAAUUGUCUUAUUCUAUAUGUAUGUUGACGAGUAAUUCCGAUUUCAUAUAUGGAUUUGGCUAGGAUGAGUUUUGUGAUGAUUAUAAGGUAGUGUGUAUAGUUACAAUUCACCAAAAUGGCAGUGUGUGUAGUGUUGAGGUCAAAAUAUAUAGUUUAAAGAGUGAUUCUCAGAGUUUGGGAUAGGAUGCGUUCCGUGAGUUUGGGGAUGUUUUUUAAUUGGAAGCUUCAUUGGACUUGGUGAGUACAGAGGUUGGGGGGAGACCUGGAGCAUCGUUUCUAUUGAGAAAUGGGAAGGUGGAGCUGCCUUGCGUUGGAGAAGAAAAUUUUCGUUUUAAGCUACGAGUGUUGGAAUAAAGCUGAUAUUCUGCUUGUUUUUGGAGCACCUGGGGUGAUACAGAAUCAAGAAGAGAUACACCACCGGUUAUCAAAAAGAUAUACGAUCAAAGGGACGAUACAGAAUCAAGAGGAGAUACACCAUCGGUUAUCAAAAAGAUGUACGAUCUAAAGAUUGAUUCGAUUAGAUAUGCACAAGUUACUAACCUAAGAAUCUUCCACAAUGACAAAGCAGGACAAUCAAACCUUAUUCUCCAAAAGCUAAAAAAAUUUGGCAACCAAAAUGGAGUUGGGGGAAAAUGAAAACACCCAUCAAACCCAAAACGGAGCAAACCCAUUAACCACCAUUCUGAAUUUCCAUCAACUUCGGUGCGAGAUUUCCAAUACCCAAAUGACAUCUGAAGCCUCGGAUCCACCGCCGCAUGGGAGCAAACCCUCAAACUUCGCUGAAUUUUCAUCAACUUCAAUGAACAAUUCAAUCUUGACAAUCCCAUUUCUGCCGGCAGAACUCAUCAUUGAAAUCCUCUCAAGGCUUCCUGUGAAAUCUCUCUUGAAAUUUAGGUCUGUUUCGAAAUCUUGGCUUUCUAUAAUUUCUAGCCCUAAAUUUAUCAAAACUCAUCUUAGGGUAUCUAUUGAUAACAAGGAGUGUACUCACCAUAGGCUCUUGAUGAAAUUGUAUCGGGCUAAUAGCAAUCUUAAGGACUGUUCUUUUAGCUCUUUACUUUACAAUGAAUCUGUUAUUGAGGCAAAUGACUUGAAUUGUCCCAUGGAAAACUCCGGUGUAUCUUUUUGCAUUGUGGGUUCAAUCAAUGGACUGAUUUGUUUUGCCGAUGGGACAGGAGACUUGUUCUUAUGGAAUCCAACAAUUAAAAAGUACAAGAAAUUGUCUCAUCGUAGAUUGACAAGUAAUACCAAUUUCAUAUAUGGUUUUGGAUAUGAUGAGUUCUGUGAUGAUUAUAAGGUAGUAUGUAUUGUUGCAAUUUACCAACAUGGCGGUUAUUCUACUGUUGAGGUCAAAAUAUAUAGUUUAAAGAGUGAUUCUUGGAGAAAUAUGGAUGAUUUAGGGGAUAGGAUGCGCUCUAGGACUUCGGCUACGUUCGUAAAUGGGAAGCUUCAUUGGACUACUUCUUGUGGUCUUGGCGAGCUUAGAGGUCGGGGGACCUGGAGCAUCGUUUCUAUGGAUAUGGCUGAUGAGAAAUGGAGAAAGAUAGAGCCCCCUUGCUUUGGAGAAGAAGAUUUUGGUUUUAAGGUAGGAGUGUUGGGAAAUAACCUUUCUGUACUUAGUAUGAACGUCCUCCUCACUCGCGUAAAUAUAUGGGUUAAGGAGGAGUAUGGGGUUAAAGAGUCCUGGACAACAAUGUAUACCAUAAAGUGUCUCAACGAUCUUGACAGGCAUUUUCUUUACCCAUCAUGUUACAUGUCAAAUAAAGGUGACACUCUUCUUGUUUAUGUAACACCUGGAAUGAUACAGAAUCAAGAGGAUACACCAUUUGUUAUCAAAAAGAUAUGUGAUGAUCCGAUUAAAUAUGUAGAGGUUACUAACUUUGGUGCCCGUUUGUCGAAUGAAAUCUACAUUGAAAGCCUUGUCUGUCCGCUUUCACAAAACCAACAAGGAUUAAGCAAGAAUGAAGGUUGCAGAUGCUCAGAUGAAUUACAAUUGUGUAACUUAUGAUUUAUGUGGAUUUUGAAGGGCGAGUACGACAAGUCUGGUCCAUCCAUUGUCCACAGGAAGUGCUUCUAAGUGAACUCAGAUCUACUGUUAUAGGCAAGUCUUUGAGAUGCGGCUAUCAAAGAAGGGCGAUUAAAAUCAUUGUACCGCUGAUACUAUUUCAUGUUUCCAGUGCAAGCCUCUUUUGUAAGUUGACAAAUUCGAUUUUGUAAAUAUGUUUGGGACUCAACUAGUGGUUAGAGUAAUGAUUUUGUAAGAUUUGUGUACAAAAAAUCAAAUUAGAAAGAUAACUCGCGAUGAUUGAAUAAGCUCGAAGAAGUGGAUUUGAAUUUCAAAUCGUGUCUUUCUUUUAUUUUAUGUGUGUGAGAAAUUUGAAGUGUUGUUUAGAUUUGUUGGAAUAGUCUAAAGAGAUUCUCUCUAUAAAAUUUGAAGUCAUUUGAUGGA